ensembl:lncRNA novel transcript
GGGUAGUCCCACAUCCCCCGCGCCUGGAGGGCCUAAUCACCGAAGGUGCUGAUGAGGGGAUAUGUGUUGCAGCGGACAGGGAUUGAGAGUGCAGGGGAGCGGUGUGAAGGGGUCGGGGUUUGGCAAAGGUGGAAGUGAAGGCGUGUCUCCUACGCCAGGUGUGAUCAUGGAAGAUGCCACCAUUGAGUUGGGUCCCCUGGUUUUACUGGAGAUGAUGAGGCCAAGUGGCAGCACUUAAUUAUUAAAGAAUGAAUUUGGAAAGAAGAGCUUGGCUGACUUUUUAUAUCCAAUAAGACGCAUAAGAAUGCCAUUUUCCAUGGAGAAUAUCUGACUGUUGAGCUGGAUGCAGAGAACUCCAAGACCCUAGAAAAUGAUGACGCCCCUAGAUGGAAGGAGCCUCAGAUCCUGAAUGACGGGUAGAGAGGGGAGGGAAAAGUAAACCUUUAUGUGUUAAGCCACUGAGAUUUGGGAGUGGCAUGUUUCAGCAGGUAGCUUACCUUGACUGACACAUCUAGUAACUAAGUUCUUUAAUUCAAGUAGACAUAGACGUUCCUUUUCCUAACCAAAAGUAUUGAUUCAUAACAUCCACAUAU